rnacentral:lncRNA from 10 species
UAGAAUUUUAGUUCAACUUUAAACUUAACCUACAGAAUUACUUAAUCCUCCUGUAAGUUUAACUGUUAAAGGGGGACGGAUCUUCAGAUACUAGAAAAUAACCGUCCUAUAGAGAGUAAAAGAUUUUACCACCAUAAUUGGCCUAAAAGCAGCCACCAAUUAAGAAAGCGUUUAAGCUCAACAUCUGACUAACUUCAUUUCUAAUCACCCUGUUAAACUCCUAAUAUUACAUUGGACUAAUCUAUUAUUCAGUAGAAGCAAUAAUGUUAGUGUAAGUAACAUUAAGACAUUAUCCAUUGCAUAAGCUUACAUCAGACCAGAAUAAUCCACUGACAGUUAACAACCUAAUAUUAACAAAUGAUUAAUAGACAUCUUAUUAUCUUUAUUUUAACCCAAUACAGUCAUGCUCUAAGGAAAGAUUACAAAAAGUAAAAGGAACUCGGCACAUUUCACCCCAUCUCUCUACCAAAAACAUCACCCCUAGCAUUGCUAGUAUUAGAGGCACUGCCUGCUCAGUGACAUAUGUUUAAGGGUUGCGGUAUCCUGAACUUGCAAAGGUAGCAUAAUCACUUGUUCCCUAAGUAGGGACUUGUAUGAAUGGCCACACCAGGGUUUAGCUGUCUCUUACUUUCAACCAGUGAAAUUGACCUACCUAUGAAGAGGCGGGUAUAAAUAAAUAGGAGAAGACCCUGUGGAGCUUGAAUUCAUUAAUGCAAAUAGAUUCAAACAAGCCAACAGG